GACUCGUCACACUAUCAUUAACUGAAUCCAUAGGUUAAUGAGGCGAACCGGGGGAACUGAAACAUCUAAGUACCCCGAGGAAAAGAAAUCAACCGAGAUUCCCCCAGUAGCGGCGAGCGAACGGGGAGGAGCCCAGAGCCUGAAUCAGCAUGUGUGUUAGUGGAAGCGUCUGGAAAGGCGCGCGAUACAGGGUGACAGCCCCGUACACAAAAGCGCAUGUGCUGUGAGCUCGAUGAGUAGGGCGGGACACGUGGUAUCCUGUCUGAAUAUGGGGGGACCAUCCUCCAAGGCUAAAUACUCCUGACUGACCGAUAGUGAACCAGUACCGUGAGGGAAAGGCGAAAAGAACCCCGGCGAGGGGAGUGAAAAAGAACCUGAAACCGUGUACGUA
rnacentral:rRNA from 2 species